rnacentral:rRNA from 1 species
AGAGUUUGAUCCUGGCUCAGGAUGAACGCUGGCGGUAUGCUUAACACAUGCAAGUCGAACGGGGGGCUUAGGCCCCUAGUGGCGGACGGGUGAGUAACGCGUGAGAAUCUGCCUUCAGGUCGGGGACAACAGCUGGAAACGGCUGCUAAUACCGGAUGUGCCGAGAGGUGAAAGCUAUAGCGCCUGAAGAUGAACUCGCGUCUGAUUAGCUAGUUGGUGGGGUAAGAGCCUACCAAGGCGACGAUCAGUAGCUGGUCUGAGAGGAUGAUCAGCCACACUGGGACUGAGACACGGCCCAGACUCCUACGGGAGGCAGCAGUGGGGAAUUUUCCGCAAUGGGCGAAAGCCUGACGGAGCAAUACCGCGUGAGGGAGGAAGGCUCUUGGGUUGUAAACCUCUUUUGAUCAGGAAGAAGGUCUGACGGUACUGAUCGAAUCAGCAUCGGCUAACUCCGUGCCAUCAGCCGCGGUAAUACGGAGGAUGCAAGCGUUAUCC